rnacentral:misc_RNA from 1 species
AAUGCAUCAUGGGGGGGUCUCUGACGCUCACCCCUGGCGGGGCGGUUCUGCGAGCUUCUUGCGCUGGGGAAUAGGAGAGGCAAAAGAAGUGAUGACCGGGCCGCCUGGCUGAACCAACCCUUUGUCUAUGUGUACCUUUUGUUGCUUUCUCGGCGGGGACGCUCGCCGGCUGGAAGCCAAACCAACCCUCUUUUUUUGCAGUAGAAAUCACUUCUGAUGUGGGCAAAAUUUAUUUA